UACGUAGGAGACGAGCGUUGUCCGGAGUUACUGGGCGUAAAGGGUGCGCAGGCGGCCUGGCGCGUCGCGAGUGAAACCUCCUGGCUCAACUGGGAGGGUGGUCGCGAGACGGCUGGGCUUGAGGCUCGGUGAGGGGCGUGGAAUUCCGGGUGGAGCGGUGAAAUGCGUAGAGAUCCGGAGGAACACCGACGGCGUAGGCAGCGCCCUAGACGAGACCUGACGCUCAGGCACGAAAGCGCGGGGAGCGAACAGG
rnacentral:rRNA from 1 species